rnacentral:rRNA from 1 species
UACGUAGGGGGCAAGCGUUGUUCGGAAUUACUGGGCGUAAAGGGCGCGUAGGCGGCACGGCAAGUCAGGAGUGAAAGGCCUGGGCUCAACCGAGGAACUGCUUUUGAGACUGCCGAGCUAGAGUGCAGAAGGGGCAACUGGAAUUCCUGGUGUAGCGGUGAAAUGCGCAGAUAUCAGGAGGAACACCGGUGGCGAAGGCGGGUCUCUGGGCCGAUACUGACGCUGAGGAGCGAAAGCGUGGGGAGCGAACAGG